UUACCUGGUCUUGACAUCCACAGAAGUUUCCAGAGAUGGGAACGUGCCUUCGGGAACUGUGAGACAGGUGCUGCAUGGCUGUCGUCAGCUCGUGUUGUGAAAUGUUGGGUUAAGUCCCGCAACGAGCGCAACCCUUAUCCUUUGUUGCCAGCGGUUCGGCCGGGAACUCAAAGGAGACUGCCAGUGAUAAACUGGAGGAAGGUGGGGAUGACGUCAAGUCAUCAUGGCCCUUACGACCAGGGCUACACACGUGCUACAAUGGCGCAUACAAAGAGAAGCGACCUCGCGAGAGCAAGCGGACCUCAUAACUGCUUCGUAGUCCGGAUUGGAGUCUGCAACUCGACUCCAUGAAGUCGGAAUCGCUAGUAAUCGGGAUCAG
rnacentral:rRNA from 1 species